UACGUAGGGUGCAAGCGUUGUCCGGAAUUAUUGGGCGUAAAGAGCUCGUAGGCGGUCUGUCGCGUCGGAUGUGAAAACCCAGGGCUCAACCCUGGGCCUGCAUUCGAUACGGGCAGACUAGAGUUCGGUAGGGGAGACUGGAAUUCCUGGUGUAGCGGUGAAAUGCGCAGAUAUCGGGAGGAACACCGGUGGCGAAGGCGGUUCUCUGGGCCUUACCUGACGCUGAGGAGCGAAAGCGUGGGGAGCGAACAGG
rnacentral:rRNA from 1 species